GGCUCUGGGAUCGGGAUCGGGAUCGCUCGGUUCUCCACGCGGAACGCGCUGCGCCAGUUCCCGCAGCCCAGCACAGCUUCCCGGCUCCCACUCCAGCACCUCCUGGCACCAAUCACAGAUUUUUCCUGGUGUUAAACCAGGCGCGACCCCUCAAUCCGUUUUUAAUCCCUGAAAUUCCCAGCCCCUCCACGCCCCGGCGCCACGUGCUCGUCCAGGGCUUUACGCCUUUGCUUGAGCCAAAGUUGCUCAAAUGUGAGGGGAAGGAGCCCCGAGGAGCAGCAAGGUCCCCUGGGGGUGGGGAGCUCGCUGAGGCUGGCGCCGUCCGGGAUGGUGACGGUGGGAGGACGUGCAGUGCCACAAAAACCUUGGAAGCAGCCACAUCCCCGUGUUUGUAAAGGCCAGGACACAGCACGGGGCUCCAGACACCUGGGAGAGGGGCGCUGGCAGGGACCAUGCUCAGGGAGGAAGGGGAUUCACCACCCCUGCAAGUGCUCAGAACGCGUGUGGAUGUGGUAUUUGGGGACACGGUUUGAUGGUGAACGUGGCAUUACUGGGUUGGACUGGAGAAAUCCCAGAGGUCCUUUCCACCCUGAGUGAUUCAGUGAUUCCUUGCAGAAAAGCUUGUGGUGGGGGAAAUGUGAAAUGGGGUGAAAUGUGAAAUGGGGUGAAAUGUGAAAUGCUCCUGGUGCUGAGCAGGGGUGCAGAGGCCAGGGCAGGGAUUUCUGGGAUGUCAGGAUGCAUUGCAGUGCUCCUGCAUCCCCCCAGCAUUCCAUUUUGGGGAGGAUCUGCGCUUUGAAUGCUGUUUUUGCAGAGGGAAAUAUUCUGUCAGGGGAGGGCUCAAAGCUCCACUUCCUAAGGCAGUGAUACCUCUGGGUGCCCCAAAUUAACCUUAGGGAUGACUUCCCUCUCUUACUUGGGGUUUUCCCAAAACAGAUCCAGCUCUCCCCACCCCAGGUGGGACUCGAACCCACAAUCCCUGACUUAGAAGGCCAGUGCCUUAUCCAUUAGGCCACUGGGGCCCAACCAAACACCCAAAAAAGGCUCAUUUUGAUUUCUUUGAGGCUCACAGUAAUGCCCCUUGGCAGUGGUGAAGCACAUCGCAGCACAGAGCUUCAUUCUCCUUAAACAGCGUCCACUAACCAGCCUGGAGCAUCCAUCCAAAGGAUUCUGGUGUCCCACUUCAAAGGCCAAAGCCUCCUGCACUCACAGGCAGCUUUGUGUUCAGAAGAAGAGGGUGAUCUGAAGGAGCAAAGCCUGCCUGAAGAACAUAACAUAAACAACGUUAAAAAAAGGAGUGGCUGACAAAAAAAAAUCAGAAGUUUUAGCUCCUCUCAAAUAUGAACAAUAGUUAUUCUGAAAAAUGAUUCACAGGCCAUCACUGUGUAUCACUGGCUGCAAAAGGAGAUGUUAAAUACGUUUAUUUACACUUUCAGGCUAUUUUUAUUCAAUACAGCUCACGAGUUUAGCAUCAUUAACAGCUGCCAACACCACUUCUUUAGGAAGAUGGAAUGCCAAGGGCUUGGAUCUCUGCUGCUCUCAGUCGAAAUCUGCCUUCCUGCUCUGUUUUAUACUUGAGUGUAUUUUUUUCUGUCGUAGCCGUUCACGGUUCAUUUUUUCCACCCUAAAACAAAAAUCAAAAGAUCCCUCAGUGUACAAAGAAAGCAUUUAAAUAUUCAACUUUUGAGACCUGAUGAACUAACAAACAUCCUCAGAUAGAAAAAACCAGUCCCUGUUCUGGGGACAUUACCCAGCAAAGCAGUUAAAAUCCAAUGGAUCAGGAUAUUCCUCAAAAAAGGAAAUUUAAAGGGGUAUGGCCAAAAUUGUUUAAAAAUGCUGCAAAGGAAAUUGUGUAACAUAACAGCCUGAACCUAAAUGAAGAGCAUUGGAAUGAAGAUACCUCUCUAUGAGUUGCUGCGUGGUCUCCUUGGACACCACCUUGGGUUUCUCAGUCGCCUCCGUGACCAUGGUCCGGAUUUUCUCCAGGCAAAUCGCCAGGUUCCUCAUUUGGUAGCGGCUCUCCUCCGAGGUCACAAUCAGCUCUCCAGCCCGGUUGAUCCUAUUCCUGUGCUGAAGGGAUGGGAAAACGUGCUGUGAGCACUGGGACUGCCACGUUCUGCCCCCGGGGCACUGCAGCCGUGCUGGCAAGGGGAGCUUGGUACCAUCAGAGCCAUCCUGUCUCUCACAGCUGCGGGAAUCCAGUCGGCCGACGCCAGGUGGAACCGGACCUCUGCCUUGGAGUUCACUGGGAGGAAAAACAGGGUCUUGGUCUCCACGGCACAGCCUGCCUUCCUCAGAGCUGUGGGGUCGCCCGGCCCGAUCCCUGCUGGCUUUCAGCACGGCAUGAUGCCGUGAUGAAUUUCCUGGAAGGUCACAAUUCUCUUCUCGCUGUAUUUUUACACACCACUCUACACGACAAACUUGUACCUGCCGUGGUAUUUGCCUUUCUAGACACUACAGAAUUUAUUGCCUGCCACUGCCUGCCCCAUUUCUAAUGGCAGAACUGGCGGUAUUUUAUCUGAAUUAAGCCUUGAAUUUAUUGCACAGUGAACUUUCAGGAUGCAGUUGGCUCUGUUAUAUUGAUCUAUGGGUGGAGGUGGUGUUCCUUGUGACACCUGCAGCAGGAAUGAUCCCUGAACUGUUCCCAGGAGCAUCAAAGUGUCAUUGCUGCUCUCCAGCACACUGAAGACUCAAAAGCUAUGUUAAAAUGCAGGGUGAGGACAAUGAAAAAUAAAUGUCCAGCAACAUGAAGACGCUGUUUAA